rnacentral:rRNA from 1 species
UACGGAGGGGGCUAGCGUUGUUCGGAAUUACUGGGCGUAAAGCGCACGUAGGCGGAUUGGAAAGUUGGGGGUGAAAUCCCAGGGCUCAACCCUGGAACUGCCUUCAAAACUCCCAGUCUGGAGGCCGGGAGAGGUGGGUGGAAUUCCGAGUGUAGAGGUGAAAUUCGUAGAUAUUCGGAGGAACACCAGUGGCGAAGGCGGCUCACUGGCUCGAUACUGACGCUGAGGUGCGAAAGCGUGGGGAGCAAACAGG